GCUGAGGCAGGAGAAUUGCUUGAACCCGGGAGGCAGAGGUGGCACUGAGUUGAGAUUACACCCCUGCACUCCAGCCUGGGUGACAGAGCAAGACUCUGUC